GAGAGAGAGAGAGAGAGAGAGUCCAAUUAACCUGGCGAUUCUUCUUACCUUGAGGAACGUAAUAGAUCAUAAUAAAAAUAAAAUAAAUAAAUAAAGUACGACAGUUUUUUUUGUAUGGUACGAUAAUGAUACUGAUGAUGAUGAUGAAAAGUUAUUAAAAUUCCCAUACAAGACCAAGAUUAAGUUUACAGUGACAUACUAUCCCUAAAUGACCUACAAUUAACGUAUUCUAAGAUCAAUGACGAAAGAAAUACAUUUUUACUGACAUACAAGGGUGUAGGUUAUCUUUUUUUAUCACAUUAACUGACAUAGCUACAAGGGGUGCAGGUUAUCACAUUUAUCGACAUACAAGGGGUGCAGGUUAUCACAAUUAUCACAUUUACUGUCAUGCAAGGGGUGUAGGUUAUCUUUUUUUAUCACAUUAACCGACAUAGCUACAAGGGGUGCAGGUUAUCACAUUUAUCGACAUGCAAGGGGUACAGGCUAUCUCUUUUAUCACAUUUACUGACAUACAAGGGGUACAGGUUAUCUCUUUUAUCACAUUUACUGACAUACAAGGGGUACAGGCUAUCUCUUUUAUCACAUUUACUGACAUACAAGGGGUACAGGCUAUCUCUUUUAUCACAUUUACUGACAUACAAGGGGUACAGGCUAUCUCUUUUAUCACAUUUACUGACAUACAAGGGGUACAGGCUAUCUCUUUUAUCACAUUUACUGACAUACAAGGGGUACAGGCUAUCUCUUUUAUCACAUUUACUGACAUACAAGGGGUACAGGCUAUCUCUUUUAUCACAUUUACUGACAUACAAGGGGUACAGGCUAUCUCUUUUAUCACAUUUACUGACAUACAAGGGGUACAGGCUAUCUCUUUUAUCACAUUUACUGACAUACAAGGGGUGCAGGUUAUCUCUUUUAUCACAUUUAUUGACAUACAAGGGGUACAGGCUAUCUCUUUUAUCACAUUUAUUGACAUACAAGGGGUACAGGCUAUCUCUUUUAUCACAUUUACUG